GACGAACGCUGGCGGCGUGCUUAACACAUGCAAGUCGAACGGUAAGGCCCUUCGGGGUACACGAGUGGCGAACGGGUGAGUAACACGUGGGUGAUCUGCCCUUCACUUCGGGAUAAGCCUGGGAAACUGGGUCUAAUACCGGAUAGGACACUGCCUGCAUGGGUGGUGGUGGAAAGCUUUUGCGGUGUGGGAUGGGCCCGCGGCCUAUCAGCUUGUUGGUGGGGUGAUGGCCUACCAAGGCGACGACGGGUAGCCGGCCUGAGAGGGUGACCGGCCACACUGGGACUGAGAUACGGCCCAGACUCCUACGGGAGGCAGCAGUGGGGAAUAUUGCACAAUGGGCGCAAGCCUGAUGCAGCGACGCCGCGUGAGGGAUGACGGACUUCGGGUUGUAAACCUCUUUCAGCACCGACGAAGCGCAAGUGACGGUAGGUGCAGAAGAAGGACCGGCCAACUACGUGCCAGCCGCCGCCGUAAUAC
rnacentral:rRNA from 1 species